ensembl:lncRNA
CGUACUGAGCAGAGUAAAUGUAACACAAAAGCUGUUAAAACUGUGUGUUUCAUUUUAUCUUUAUAAAAUUUUCUAAUUUUGUUUGUAUUAACACGUUUGGAGUCAGACUGUCAGAAAGCCGCAGCUUUUCCGACCGCAGAGCACCAUCACCUGUUUUCUGGGUUCCUAAUCUGACCCAGCAUGCAGCGCUGCAGGUGCUACAGCACAAUCAGGAAGUGAGAGAUUGUGUCCACGUGGCAGGCUCUAACGUGGCCCAGCAGACAACAGGGUAGCGAGGAGUGUUCCUCCUGGAUUAGAUGGCAUCCACUGAAGAACCGCAGCCAGCGCCCUACUCCAUCACUGCUAUCUUCAGUUUUCCAGUGAUGGCCACACUCUGUGGUUUCAGGGAAGGUGCUGACACCACCCACACAGCCUUUGUCAGGCUGGUGGGGUGGGGUCACAUCAUCACUGAGGUGAGAUGGAGAAUCUGGUACUGAUGACUUUAAGUUCACACACUGCGAGCUCUGAAGUUUCUGCAGAUCCCGGUGAAGCCGAAUCUCCAGAAUCCCACAGAUCCACUAUCCCGUGGUGAGCUGAUGGCGCUGUAGGUGAGCGGAGGACGGUGGUGGUAACUGGAGGGAAUUCUGGGAUUUGCAGGUGAGGUCAAAACUCUGGAAUAACACAGAAAAAACACAGUGAAUACUCUGAUCUCUACUAUUCUCCAUUCUUAACAGCUUUUCAGUCAUUUCAGGCACAAAUUGAAGCAUUUUUAAGUUUUUCUUUAAAUUCCAACUGAUCAGAUUGGAUCCAUAAGUUUGAACCUUUGAAGCGCG